AAGCCACCCCAGAAUGUCCCAUGGGUGUCCCAUGAAUGUCCCAGAGCCACCCCAAGGUGUCCCAUAAAUGUCCCCAGGAUGUCCCAAAGCCACCCAAGGAUGUCCCAGGGAUGUCCCAAAACCACCACAGGUCGUCCCCUUCAGGAUGUCUCAGAGCCACCCCAAGGUGUCCCUUCCAGGGUGUCCCAAGGAUGUCCCAAAGCCACCCCUGGGUGUCCCAUAAAUGUCCCAUGGAUGUCCCCUGAAUGUCCCAAAGCCACCUCAGGGUGUCCCAGGAGCUCCCAGGGUGUCCCAGGGAUGUCCCAAAGCCACCAGAACCACUGAGGACACCCCGAGCCCCUCCAGGCCACCCCUGGGUGUCCCAUAAAUGCCCCAAGAUGUCCACGGGAUGUCCCAAAGCCACCCCAAGGUGUCUCCUCUAGGAUGUCCCAAAGCCACCACAGGUUGUCUCCUUCAGGAUGUCCCAAAGCCACCCAAGGAUGUCCCAAAGCCACCACAGAUUGUCCCUUUCAGGAUGUCCCAAAGCCACCCAACGAUGUCCCAGGAUGUCCCAAAGCCACCCCAGAGUGUCCCAGGAUGUCCCAGGAUGUCCCAAAGCCACCAGGACCCUCCAGCUCCCCCCAUCCCCUCCCCCAUCACUCCAGGCUCCUCCAUCCCCCUCCCCCAUCUCCUCCCCAGGANGUGGUGGAAACAUCUCAGGGGGGUUCGAGGGGACGCUCUGGAAGGGAUCCAGAUGCAGUUAUGGAGUCUCUGGGGGGUGAGGAACCCAUGGAGACCCCAAAACUUCUCCCAGCAUUGUCCUGAGGUUCUCCCAGGUUCUCCCAGGUUCUCAGAUGCAGUUAUGGAGUCUCUGGGGUGGGAGGGACCCAUGGAGACCUCAAAAGUUCUUCUGGGCUGAGGGGAAGGGUGGGAAUUUGUGGUGGCCACAUCUCAGGGGGGUUUGUGGAGAACAAUGGGGACACUCUGGAACAGCUCCUGAUGUCAUUAUGGGGUCUCUGGGGCGUGAGGAACCCAUGGAGACCUCAAAAGCCCUGGUGGGAUGUUAAAGAAAUGGGAAAUUUGUGGUGGCCACAUCUCAGGGGGGUUUGUGAAGAACAAUGGGGACACUCUGGAACAGCUCCUGAUGUCAUUAUGGGGUCUCUGGGGUGUGAGGAACCCACGGAGACCCCAAA
rnacentral:lncRNA from 1 species